UACGGAGGGUGCAAGCGUUAUCCGGAUGUACUGGGUUUAAAGGGUGUGUAGGCGGACUAUUAAGUCAGGGGGGAAAUCCCGAGGCUCAACCUCGGAACUGCCUUUGAUACUAUUAGUCUUGAAUGUUGUUGAGGUAGGCGGAAUAAGUCAUGUAGCGGUGAAAUGCAUAGAUAUGACUUAGAACACCAAUUGCGAAGGCAGCUUGCUAAACAAAUAUUGACGCUGAGGCACGAAAGCGUGGGGAUCAAACAGG
rnacentral:rRNA from 1 species